GCGUCAGUAGGUUGGUCGUGCCACCGGUACGUACUGGACUCACUGAUUCCUCCUUCCUGAAGAACCGUAAUGCCAUUAAUUUGGUGUUGCGGGGAAACAGGACUGUUACUUUGAAAAAAUUAGAGUGUUUAAAGCAAGCUAACGCUUGAAUACAUUAGCAUGGAAUAAUGAAAUAGGACGAUCGAUCCUAUUUUGUUGGUUUCUAGGAUUGACGUA
rnacentral:rRNA from 1 species